GCUGGUUAUUCAGGAAAAGGAUCUAAGUCCAAUUUUAAUCCUUAACAUAAUAUAAAUUAUACUCGCAGGCUUAAAAUUCACUCAAAUAAGGUACAGCCUAUUUGAGACAGGAGACAACCUAUGAUAUAGGGUAAUGCUUAAACCAAUGUGACUAAGUGGGCCCAAAAGCAGCCAUCUUUAAAAAAGCGUUAAAGCUUUACCACGCCUAAUUACUAAUUCCAACCUAACCCCCAAACCCUUCACCCAUACUGAAUGACUCUAUACUUUUAUAGAAACCCUCAUGCUAGAACUAGUAACAAGAAUUCAUAUUCUCCCACAAAUGUAAGUGUAAGCCAAAAUGGACUCUCCACCGGCACUCACCGCUAAUGAACCAACAGUAGCAACCCACAAGAAAACCCUACUCCACACAGCGUUAACCUUACACAAGAACUUUUCUGGAAAGAUUAAAAAAAGAGGAAGGAACUCGGCAAACAUUAACCCCGCCUG
rnacentral:rRNA from 1 species